UGGCUCAGUGGUUAAGAGCACUUGACUGCUAUUCCAGAAGUCCUGAGUUUGAUUCCCAG
rnacentral:tRNA from 1 species